rfam:TPA: Bos taurus chromosome 14, whole genome shotgun sequence.
UCCCUUAUGGCUCAGACGGUAAAGCGUCUGCCUACAAUGCAGGAGACCCAGGCUUGAUCCCUGGGUUGGGAA